CGGCGCGGAGCGGCACGCCGCGUCCCGAGCGGCCGGCGGCCGGGGCUCGCCCCCGCGCCUCCCUGCUCCCCGGCGGCGGGCCGAGCGAGCGGCGCAGCCUGGAAUAUGGUCGGGGAAAUGGAAACGAAGGAGAAGCCGAAGCCCACCCCAGAUUACCUGAUGCAGCUCAUGAACGACAAGAAGCUCAUGAGCAGCCUGCCCAACUUCUGCGGGAUCUUCAACCACCUCGAGCGGCUGCUGGACGAAGAAAUUAGCAGAGUACGGAAAGACAUGUACAAUGACACAUUAAAUGGCAGUACAGAGAGAAGGAGUGCAGAAUUGCCUGAUGCUGUGGGACCUAUUGUUCAGUUACAAGAGAAACUUUAUGUGCCUGUUAAAGAAUACCCAGAUUUUAAUUUUGUUGGAAGGAUCCUUGGACCUAGAGGGCUUACAGCUAAGCAACUUGAAGCGGAAACAGGAUGUAAAAUAAUGGUCCGAGGCAAAGGCUCAAUGAGGGAUAAAAAGAAGGAGGAGCAAAAUAGAGGCAAGCCCAAUUGGGAGCAUCUGAAUGAAGAUUUGCAUGUACUGAUCACUGUGGAAGAUGCUCAGAACAGGGCAGAAAUCAAACUGAAGAGAGCAGUGGAAGAAGUGAAGAAAUUGUUGGUACCUGCAGCGGAAGGAGAAGACAGCCUGAAGAAGAUGCAGCUGAUGGAGCUCGCGAUUCUGAAUGGCACCUACAGAGAUGCCAACAUUAAAUCACCAGCCCUUGCCUUUUCUCUUGCAGCAACAGCCCAGGCUGCCCCACGGAUCAUUACCGGGCCUGCGCCUGUUCUUCCACCAGCUGCCCUGCGCACUCCUACGCCAGCUGGCCCUACCAUAAUGCCUUUGAUCAGACAAAUACAGACCGCUGUCAUGCCAAACGGAACUCCUCACCCGACUGCUGCAAUAGUCCCUCCAGGGCCUGAAGCUGGUUUAAUCUACACACCCUACGAGUACCCCUACACGUUGGCACCAGCUACGUCAAUCCUUGAGUAUCCUAUUGAACCUAGUGGGGUAUUAGAGUGGAUUGAAAUGCCAGUCAUGCCUGAUAUUUCAGCCCAUUGACUUGCUGGAUGGAGGAGUAGCGAACAGCAGCUGUUCCAACACGACCAGUCCAUGUGGAACACACUGCUUCUGUGCAACCCCUUUGUUUUCCCACACAGAAUUCAAAUCCUUUUUUUUCCCUGAAUUGUACAUGACCUUGGUGCUGCAUGCAUGCUGUGCUGUGGACUUCUAGGACUUCGAUGUUUUAAGGGAUUUUUUUCCUCCAGCAUUAAUACUGAUUUAUAGAAAUUUGAAAGUCUAAUGAACCUGAACACUAAGAGUUAAACUCAAAAAUGCAUUGUUCAAUUAAAGCAAGCUACAAUGCUCUGUAUGUUAUCUGUGUGUGUGCAUGCACUCAGGUGCCUUCUGUUUUAUGAACAAAUACGUUUUAUUGUACAUGUUUUCCGUUCAUCUCUACAUCUCUGUAUGAAAUAAUCACAGGUCAGAAUCAUACCACAGAACUGCUGAUGAAAGCCUUGUUUCUUUUGCAUAUUUCUCAAAGCAUUUAAAAAAUAACCUAUAACCUGUAACCUCCAAUUUCCUUUCUAUUAAUCUCUGUCCUGUGGCCCUGUGCAUGCUUCCCCCCGAGAACUCCUGUGUGCUGCGCCCAGAGCAUCUGUCGGAGGAGUUAGGGCUCGUGGCUCGCACGGGCCUGGGGCUCCCUCCCGCUGCUCCUAGUCUAGCACUGUCCAUGUUGCCCUGUGCAGUUACAGUCCUGUGUGCCGAGCUUCUCCAGGAAAAGGGGGGAUAGGCCAGUUACUGCUUAGAAGCAGCAAGAGGCACUGCUCUAGAGCUUCUCACCAGAAAACACUAUUGUUUUCUUUGAUGGGAAGUUUUUAGUCAUAAAAUCUGAAUUAUUAGACUGGCAGAAUUAACCAUAAAAUACUAUUUUCUAAUUGGAAUUUAGAAGAUGAGUAAUAAUCAAUACUAAGUGAAGUCUGUUAUUAUCAAUUUUAUUUCUUGCUUUGCAACCUAAGCAGUAAAACUUAACCAUCUGAAGAACUGAGAGAAUUCUCAUAAAUUGCUGUUACCAUAAACUUGCACACAGAUAACAUGCAUGCUGUAAAUCAGCUCUCACAUUAAAUUAUCUUAAAUGCGCAGUGCCCUUCAAAACAAUGCAGACAUGUGUGUUGAUGGUAGUGAGGAGAUUGGUGUUAGCAUCAAAUCUUCAUUGAUGACUAAUUUUUAAUUCCCUUCCUUUUAUCUUUAGGUAUGGCUUUCCCAACGAAAGGCUAAGAAUUCAAGAACGGUCUUAACUGAACCCUCAUCAGAUCUGAAUUUAACAAAUGCUUAGUCUCAGCAGCCUCCGGGGAAAAAGCUUAGCCUAGCAGUCAGUGACUUACUUGCACUUUUUGCACAUAGAUAUAAAGUUUAAAAAUUGUUAUUAAUUUGGUUUAGUCGGUCAUAUUACCCAGUAACAGUAAUUUAUAAAGGAGUGUAUAGUAGUGUACUGACUGCUAAGUGUACUGUACUGUUUGCUUUACUAAUCACCUAAUUCAUUGCAGUUCAUUCUUAUUGACUGAGUUUAAAACCACAAGCUGUAGGCUUUCAGGAUUGCUUUGAAACCUUUUUAAGUGAUAAACUCUGGAAGUGGGCUUAAGGUUAGCAAAUAAUUCUCAGUAUGAAACAUGGCAUUAUUGAAGUUGUCCUGUAAGCGAGGCACGUCAGUGAAUAUGUGACUAGUAAAGCUUCAGUGUGUUUGCAUCUGACAGCUCAUGAAUACUGUGACCUGGGAACUGUAAAUGAACAGAUGAAAUAGGUUAAGGGCAAGAUGUUUAAAAUAAAUGCAAUAUUAAUAGAUGCAUAUAUACAUGACAUGGUUAACUUUAAAACUACUGUGCCUUAGCAUAUUUCCUAAAGCAAAUUUUUGUAGUAAAUGACAUUUGGAGUCCAUUUUGAUAAACCUGCUGUUAAUGUUUCUUCCCUUGUGAAUGUUUUCUAACUUUGUCUUGGUAAUUGCGAUUUAACUAGGUGCGGUGGCUACUAAAGUUCGAAGGCACGAUAUGCGUGUCCAUCCUUACCCAAGGAUUGUGACCGCAGACCGAGCCGCCACCGGCAACUAACCUAUGACCUUCUGACCUCUGAACUCUUCACCCAAUGAUGACCUGACCAUGCCUGCCUGCUGAUCAGUUAACUGGUAAUCGCCUUUGCUUGCCUGUCGUCAGCGCAGCGAGCUGAGGCACUUGUCCGUUCGUCUUACCAUCUAACCAAACAAAAGACAAAGAAAUUGUUGUCCUCCAACUCAGCUUCUUUUCUUUUUCCCAUUUGGGUGAACGUGGUUCUAGAAACUGCACUGAAUAGUAGUAAAGCAAUAAGGCCCAAUUCAUCCCACAGCACUGACCGUCUUUUAAUGUCCCCCUCUGAGCGAACGGUAAGAAGGGGGGACAGCUGGCCCUUAACUACUCAUUGACAGAGGCAGUUACUGUGAGACUUCUAGGAACCUUUCUCUUCUCAUAGCAAAGUCAAAGCUCUCUGAAUGUACUGUGUGAUGAUACAUCAUGCAUGAACCUUCGGUCAGGGAUGUCAUUGGGGAAUGACUUCAAAAAGUAUUCGGAAUCUGAUACGCUGUUUGGUCACUACAGCGCCCUCACAGGGCGAGUGGCAGCCUUGUUACAUUGCCUGCCAAUAUUUUGAAGUAUUAGAAGAAAGUGUGCCAUGAGAGGAAAGCAUAACGAGGAGUUUGAAAAUUAAUGCAAAGUAAAAAAUUGCAACACUAUUUUUAAAAAGCUAAAUAUCUGAGUUAAAAUGACGGAACCUUUAUUUUACACCUCCGUUAAAAAUACACGAGAACAAGGUACAUGCAUUAUGUGUCACAUUACUGGGCAAACUGUUCAAGUGUUUUUUUUAAACCUCCCUGUAUAGAAAAAAUCAUUAAGGAUGUAAAAGCCAUGCUUGCCUACUUGCUGUAUACAUGUAAUGAAAUUGUAGAUAAAGUGUAGUGCAUUGAGACAAAUGAACAAAAAGUAGAUUCUUUUACUAUACAAGGGUGCUGGUGCAGAAAAAAAUAUAUAUAUUUUUGGAAAUGUAGCAUUUUAUACUUUCAAGUGUUAUAAAAAAAAAAAGAAAAAGAACAAAGAAACCCUUUAUUUCAUUAAAUGAUUUUUUCUGGUGGUUGUCAAGAAACAAAAGACCAAAAGAGCCUUUUUGUCUUUAUUUUUAUUUUUUAAGUAUUGGAAUAAGUCUAAAGAAAAGAAAGUGCCUUAUUUUCCUUCAUGGUCAUUUAGUCAAGUGUCUCGUAAGGUCAGCUCCUCCCUCACAAUAAGAGUUAAUGCAUGUUCCUCAGUCGCCCAGUAUGUGAAAGAUGAGAAGGGAGACAAAUGAGUUGAUGGUUUGAUUUAUGAUUUUUGCCACAUUAACUUGAAACAAAUUUGCCAAAUCUGAUACUGUGAACAAAAUUGAUGAUUUGUCCAAGUCUGAUUUGCUACAUUUUUGAAACAUCAUUUUUUUCAAAAAUCAUAAUGGAGUACUUUUAUUACAAUCUCCAAUGCAUCCAGAGAAUUCUGAGAUUAAAAUUUUGUGAGGUCCUCUGAGCAUUAGUUUACAGACGACAUCACAGCUGCGCUUCACUGGGAGUCGGGGAGACGGUGGGUUUUUUUCUCUCUUGCUAAUUGGAGAGUAUAGCAGUAUGCCUAGCAAAACUUUUACCAAAAUGAGUCUUAGUAAUACUCAUUCAGGAAAACAGCUUCUGAAUGACCCAGUUCAAUCAUCCUCUGUCCACCAGCAUCAGAGAACGUGUGCUGUACAUCUCUGCUGGUUUGAAUAACCUCCUCUAGCCGACACAACUUUUUGACCCCUCUGUUUUUUAUCUUUAAAGUACUCGGAAAAAGCAUCAUUGUGGAUAUAAAUGCUCAAGUGCACCUCCAUUGCCAUGAAGUUCAGUUCUGUACUAGGAGCACUUUGCACUUUGUGUGCAAAACUGUAUCUUAACACUGAGUGAAUCAUUGUGACCUGCUCAGUACCAGACGUGGCAAAUCUCCAGUGGCAGUGAACUUCAGCUGGUCAACUCGCUCCCUUCCCCACACUUCCCAGGCAAGGUCAGCACCUUCACGGUGACCUCCCCUUCAUCGUGGCUCACUUGGAAACCCUUAUCAGUUUAUUUACUAUGCAAUAGACAUUCAUUGUUUUGUAUUCCGCUAGCUUGGUUUAAUGUGCCACUGCUUUGUCUUUCUGUUACACAUACCAUUGUUUGGAUUUAUUUACGAUAUAUGCUGUGCCAUUUUGGUUUUUAUUUUGUUUGGUUGGUUGAAUAAAUUUGCGACACUCAAACACUUGAGGUGAUAGUUUAGUUAAAAACGAUACCAGUAUUUGAUCCAGUUUCAUCUCAGCUGUGUUCAGCCUGGACAUUUUAGAUGUUCAUCAAAGGUCUUCUCUAAGGAAGGAAGGAAGAAAUGUGUGACAUUUACAAGUAAUGCUGGCUUGGAACAAACUUUUGAAAACUUAGUUGAUAAAUUUUGGAUCAACUGAAAAAAAAGCAUGACUUUUGAAAUCUCUGAAUGCCUUGGUUCUCAGUAUUAUCAUUCUUUAUUGAAUUUAUUUCUUAUUAAAAUAUGUAGUUUUUAAGACUUUUUUUCUGACAGUAUUAUGUAAUUGUUUAGUGCAGGUAGAUGGGAGUGUCGCUUGUAUGUUCCCAUACAGCUGACGUGGAUUUUUGUGUCUUCUUUAUUAUCCUAGUAGUUCAUGCUGUGUAUGUACCAUAACCAACCUAUUGCCUAUGAGAAACAUGUAAGAUAAUGUAUUUACAGCCAUUGUUACAAGUUUAUAAUGUAUUUUUCUAUCUUGUUUUAUAUGUAUGUUAUAUAACAUUCAAAAGAAUUUUUUUCUUGAUUGAGAAAAGGAUACAAAAUGCAAAAUCCACAAUUUUGAUAACUGAAAAUUGCCAAUUGUUUUGCAGUACUUUAUUAUAUUGGGUGUCUUGUCUUUUCUUGAGCUUUUAGUUAGCUAAUGAAUGAAAACAUUAGACACUUUGGGUUUUAGUUGGGAUUUUACAUAGCUUGCCUUUUAAUUCUUUGGUUCCUUGCUGUUUCUAUUAACCCAUAGCAUUAUUUUAAUAAAUGUUAUAAUACCAACCUACUAACUCUGGACUGUUUCUGUUUAUUAACCUUUACAUGUCUAAUUAAACAAGCAAAUGAAGACGAAAGAUCCUGGACUAACCCUGGAGAGCACAUGAGCACAGAUAACAUGCCGUCACGUGUCUGUUGUCUGUCGGCUGGCACCGUGUAGACUGCUGUCCAACAGCUCUGGGCUCCCGGCCUUUCCUGGGGGCGCAGGAGCUGGUGCAGACAGGAACGGAGCAUCAGCUCCUAGUCUCCCGACUUGCCUUUCAGUGUCUGCAUUGCUAAUUCCACACUUCGUUUUCUGAAAUAAUCGUGAUCUGCUCAGAGCAUGAAGGUCAGAGAGAUUCCUUGUAGUGAUAUUCCCUGAGAAACCAGUUUGAUUCCUUGUUGGACCAUUUAUUUAAUUCCUAUAAAUAGAUAACUAUGUCCACAUCAUGAAGAAUCUUUUUAUUUUAUUUAUUUUUAUGCCAACUGGCAAGCUUGCGUAGCCAGGUGCUCAUGGUGCUGGUCUUGCACCAGGGAUGACGCCAAAGGCAUAGGGUCUGUGCGUUAGGGCCUGGCACCGCGAGAUCCCACCCCCUCCUGGGGUCACGUCGUGGACAUUGUAUUUUCUCAAGCAUAAAAUGACCCAAUCGUGACCUGUAAUUUAGCUCUCAUUUCAUUUCAUAUACUUUCAUUUUUCAGGUUAGCCAUUAUCUUUUCUAUGAAACAAACUUUUUACUAUCUUUUGCCUAAUACAAGUAUUUUUUUUUUCAGAAUGAAUUUUAAAUAAUGGCUUACCAAUAUACACCAAGUUUUAUUUAGAGUUUUAAAAUUUAGGGCUGAAAUGAGUUCCAUGUAGUAAUUGCUCUUGACCCAGUAUGUUGUUACCCAGACUGCCUAGUACCCUCAUAUUUCAUGAAUAUGCAUGCACACACGACCCAGAAUUGGAGUGACUGAAUCGUUGUCUGGGGGUGUUCUCUGACAGGAGAGGUGGAGCAAGGCAUUGUUAGGUCGACAGAAUCUUGAUGUGUUGCCAUCUGUAGACGUUCCCAUGCUGUAAGAACUUUUGUGUCCUGUGAAAAUGUUAUAGUAUGCAAAGCUGCUAAUA